ACAAAUCCAGGCCUCUGACAUUACCAGAAUGUUCUUGAAAGACACUGGGCUCCGCUUAAAAUAUACAUUAUGGGCCGGGGCAUGUGAACUAAUUGUGUAAUUAAAAUGAUGGACAGGGAGAUUUUCCCUCACCUUUGAGUCCUCUUCUUCCUCUGCACUCCUUUCCUGUCUUCCUGCUUCUUUUUAUUUUAGGAAAGGGAGAAAGGACAACCUAGGAAUGUAGAUGUCCCGGAAGAUGCAGACAUUUAAACCCAAGCGGGAGAAGGAUGGGAGUGGGGGCCGAGGGGUCCGCGCGCGGCCCUGCGAGGGGGCCAGAAGCGGGGAAGAGCCAGCCCGGAGCUGAGCGCCCGCGCUCCGCAGAGCCGGGCCAGGCGCACUGGGGCCAGGGCUAGGGGCGGCCGGGCGGGGAGGCUGGGGUGCGGGACACGGCCACAGACCCAGACACCAGCCCAGGAACAAACUCUUGUGAACUCUGCUCCUCUACAUUCUUUAAGCGCUCGUCCCCAAGCGGGAGACCCGAGCUCCGGGUUUGGGGGAGCUGAGAACCCAUGGCAGACGACGGCGCGGAGGAGCCCCCGAUCUCAGCCCAGGGCGGGCUGGGGGACACAGCCGGGAGGCCGGGCCUGGCUGGCGCGAGCUCGGCGGAGCCCCGGAGAAAGAGGAGCCUGCCGCAGAACCGCCGCCUCCCGGCAGAACCGCCGGGCUGCGGCCUGGAGCCCCGGACCUGGCCGCCGAGCUGGGCCGAGCCGCGCGCAGCCAAGCUCUCGGCCCGGCGCUGCGAGCCCGCCCCGCGCCCCUGGCAAAGCAGAAAGCGCCUGGGCGGAGUGCUGCGGUGCGGGUGGGGGCCGGGCACCGCGGCUCGGGCGCGGCCGCCGGCGGGCUGGGCUGGGCUGCGGGCUGCGCUGCUCGCCCUGCGCCCCGGGCAGAAAAGGAAAUACCCCCCCACACACACACCGCCACGGCAAGUGGGCCCCGGAAACAGCUCGCUGCCUUCAAUUUGGGGACCUAUGUUAAUGAAGUUGGUAAUUAAUUCGUCGCUUUGUUGUCGGUUCUUACACUGUAUGUGUAAUCAAAUGUGGCCGUCCUUGGGAUUUCCAGCAAUUAGCGAAUUACGGAGAGCGCGCGCGGCGGAGGCUCCCGACGCCGGGUCGGGCUCGCGGCUCUGCCCGCGCAGGUGUCCCGGCCCCGCCGGCCGCAGCCCGCCCGCGAGGACCCCGGCGGCCGCGUCCCCGUCCCGGGAGGCACGACUUUCGGGGCCCGGGCUGGGGGAGGGUGAGUACGCGCCCCGCCCCCACCGUGCCCAACACCUGGCCAGGCCCCGCUCGUCCCCGGAGGGAGGGACGGGCCAGCGCCCCGGGCAGUGCGUCCCGGGUAGCGCGGGCUACCGGGACACUGCCGGUGCCCGGGUCACAGCCACGACGCCUGGCACCCGCGCCAUCCCCUAGAGGACAGGCUCCUUGUGCCCCCCACCGGGAAGAGACGGGCUUUCCCCCAGUUUGACCGUAGUGACAACGAAAUCAUCAAAGAGAGAAAAAGGAAAAUGAACUUCGUGGAUCGGGCGCGGGGAGGCCUGGGGGCACUGAAGGGGUGUGGGCAACAGCAGGCGCGCGCGCUGGGGAUUUCCUCGAAGUGAGAAGUGUCGGGCUGGGAGAUCCCUCUGCGGGGAAUCCCUGGAGUCCAGGGGGUGGUUUAGGACGUGGUCAGGUGCUCAAGCGGCCGAACCUCACGGGCGAUGCGGGGCUCCUCUGGCCAGGGCGGGUUGCUACGCGUGGGGCGUGGGAGGGCAUCCCCUUGGCAGCGCCGGCCGCACACAGUCCAGCUUCUCCGGUGCCCUCUCGUCUAAUAACUUCGCCGAAACACCGGCCAAUAAACCACGGGGUGGAAAUGGACAGUGUUAAAUAAACAAGGGUCUCUUUAAAAUUCUCAUCCACUUCAGAUGUCUAAAGUAAGAUUGUGAUGAUUUUGUCACGGUUUGGUAAAUUUACCCCUUUAAGAGGCUUUCAUAAAUCCCAGAACACACCUUCAGCCAGAUUUGAAUAUAGAUUUAGGUUUUAAAACCCAGAAGCUGGAAACACCGCUUUAUCAAAGAGAAUUUCCCUUUAGCUUAGCAAUGUGCUGAAGCUCUUAAAAAGAUUGGAUCUGAGAGAGAGGGUGAGAGAGGGAGAGAGACAGAGAGGAGAAAGGGAACUAAGGGAGACGGAGAUGCAGACUGGGUGGGGGGCUUUCUGUUUCUUUCUAGAAGAUUUCUGCCCAGACUCUGCAGCAGUUGGUAGCAGGCAAGCUUUCUCCUGGGUGUCACUUGGAAAAGUUGCAAAAUUGCUCUUCACCUGUAAGAACACGCUCUUUAUCUUCCAGUCUCUUCUUGUCAAUUUGGAAACUGCAGACAGCCCGGCUCAGUGCCUGUCGGCCAUACCACCCUGGCUUGGAGUCAGAUGACUAUGUACUGAAACCUCUACAAACGGUGGCUGCUGCGUUUCCGGUUUCACUUGUGACCUAGGGGCUGUGUGUCUGCCAGUAGGAGGAAGAGACUCAGAAUCAGCCCAAGAGGCUCUGCAAAGUCCCCUAAAACUCGCCAUCUGAUGCCUUCAUGUGCCUGAAUCGUCACUGCGCAGGAGGAAUAACCAUAUGCUCAGGACACCUUGUUCUCAUCAGAUUCAAAGCCAGUCCUGCCUCAAUUCUUCCUGCUCAGCCAGUGCCUCUGAAGCCUGUGAUGGAAGCCGACAUGCCAGCCACUUGUUUCUCCACUGGAGCGGGGGCACCAGCUCGGGUUGAGGAUCCUGGGAGUUGGCACACUGAAGUUUGCAGAGGCUGCCUAGUGACAGGAAGUCAGUGGAGCGAUGUAGAGCAGGAGUGGGCGACGAAAACACGCUCUCACUCUGUGCAUGGAAGUCCGCUUUGAAAGAGAAGCUUGCUGCCUCCUCCCAGUGCUCCUGGCAACAACACUGUGGGUUUUGCUAUCAAAGAACAAAUGCUUCAAGACAUAUCUCACCCAGACACCACAGCCCUGCCCAGUAGAACUCCAGAGAAGUAACACCAAGCAGGUGAGAAGGUCGGUGCUUCCAGGGGCAUCACGGCUAAGAGGCUGGCUUAAGGUUAUGUGCCCUGCAGUAUGAGUUCACUUUACACUGGCAGAGAGAGAAAACCGAAUUGCCAUCAAACUUCGGCACAAAUGACCAAGGACACCGCCAAGAAAAAGAACCCGCUGGGGCACAUGCGCUGCAGGCUUCGUGGCCUCCUUUGUCCUCAGCCUUCUCCUCCUGAGACUGGCAAGAAAGGCGGUGCCACAGGUUCCGGGUUCCCAUCCUUGCGGCUGUGGUCACCAAGGCAGGAUGCUCCUGUCCCCCGUCCCAUGCGAAGGCUGGGAUUGGCUCUGCAGGGGAGAGCACAUCAGGCCCAUCACUGUGACCCACCACUGAGAACCGAACCGGGUGAUGGGCACGCAGGGACUCGCCAAGCCCAGGUCACCUGCCCGCCGGCGUGCCCCGCUGAUUAAGGAGGCCACUGGCUGGAGUUGCCCUAUUUAUUUACAGUUGUUGUUCACCUGAAAUUCGGAUUUAGCCUGGCACCCUGUGUUUUUUGUGGCAGUUCUGGCACCAGAGUCACACAGGACGGGCCAGAGUAGCUCUUGACAGAGCCAGCAGAUAUGGCCCAGCAAAAUCCAAAUUUCUAAAGACACAGGUUAGUCUCCCUCUCAGGCUCAAGCCCGAGGCCCCGUCGCAGUGCUGGAGACAAGCUGUCCUCUGGGGCUGAGGUCUGGCUGCCACCCAUGCAGGGUCAGUCGUUUCCAUUCACCUGGGACCCAGACAGCAGCCGGGAGGUUUAUGUUGACUACUUUUAAAACCAGCAAUUUCUGUUUCCAAAAGCUGUUGAAAUUCUACUUCAAACUUUAAAUUUGUUUCUCUAGUCAAAUGAACAUUGAUCAUCUAACUAGAUCACAAUGCAUAUGCCACUUAUGCAUUGGGAUUUAUUACAUUCAGAGUUAAAUAUAAUGUUUUAGCUUAAAAUGUAAUGAAAAGACUAGCUGUCUUUUUUCUUUCCCUUUUCUUCUUUUUUCUUAAGAAACCAAGAUAUAUUUUUUUAAAUAUUGAACUAAAAAAAAAAAAUGUAUCUUGCCGAAGGCCUAUGCUAUAAAUUCCUAUUGCAGAAAUCAGUCUAUUUAAUUGAAAAAUAUUUAAGACAACUUUAGCCAAUGGCUCAGAUAUUGCCAACAGUACCAGAUAGUAUUAAAUUAUUGUACAAAAGGAAGGUUUGGAUGACUGGUUGAAAUAUAUUGAAAUGUAAUUUAUUCUUGAAAAUCAGGCUCAAGAAUCAUGACCUUGAGGUAUAUUUAAAAAUGAAGACACAAAAUUUCCAUUUUCUCUUCUCUUAGUCUUAGCAAUCCUCUUGUCCUUUCCUGGAGUCUCACCCUCAUAUAAACUAUAUUAAAGAUGUAGCAAAAUCUAAAAUAGCAGUGUCUAAUAGAAAUGUGCCAGACAAAUAUGUAAUUUAAAAUUUUAUAGUAGCAGCAUUUAAAAAAGUAGUAACAGGUGAAAUCAAUUCAAAUAUCCAAGAUACCGUCAUUUCAACAUGCAAUUAAUAUAAAAUUAUUCAAGAGAUAUUUUACUUUCUUUUUACACAUUCACUUUAUGCUUUUCAUACUCAGACUUUCAAUUUGGACACUCAUUUUUAAUUGAAAAUAUUUAAUCUAUAUUUAAAUAUCAUAAAAUUUACAGGAGAAAGUGUGUUCAUAGACCCACAUUGUUUCAAAUUAUUUUAUAAUUUUUUAAUAACUAGAGUUUCAGUUUUUUGUUCAAAUGAAAAUCAAUUGAAAUUAAAUAUACAGUGGCUACAUUUGGCUACUAUGUUUAGCUGCAAUAUUUAAUAGCACGAAACCAAGGUUACUUUACUUCCUAGUGGAAUUCCAAAAGAUCAUUUCGACCUUAGCUGAAUAAUAUGUGAGCACUUUCUUUACGUUUCUAAGGACUAGUUUUCUAGGAUUGCCAUAACCAAUAGUUGCAAACUUAGUGACUUAAAGCUGCACAGAUUUAUUGUAUUAUAGCCCUGGAGGUCAGAUGUCUGAUGAAGUUCUCUGGGCCAGGCAUGCAGAUGAGCAGUGAUGCUCGCUAUGGCCAGGGCUGUGAGUUCUCUGGAGGCCGGGGGGGGCAGACCCGUCUACACCCUGCCUGUGUGUCCGGGCCAGCCCCUUCUCUCUGUCUCCCAAGCACCCUGGUUUGGAAGGGCGUCCUACAGCCCUUCCCCACAUCUCUCUGAGCACAUUUAAUAGGUUGUGGUGAUGUCUCGCUGUUUUCUUUUCAUUUUCCAUUUCAUGUGAUAGUUUGCUGCCUGUAUAUCUUUUGCAGUGAAGUUUCUAUUAAAACCUUUUGCCCAUUCUUAAA